AAGAUGGACGUCUCAUCUCUAGAGAGAUGGAGCAACUGCCCAGUCCUAAACAAGACUGCCUUGAAGACAUCCCUUUGCUUUCCGCGGAGUUGUGUUUAGGGUUUCUAUGCACACGAGCCCAAGUCGAAGUGCUGGUUUCGAGGUGCACUUGCAGUUCUAAGCGCUGCAGCGGCCAAAGGUCCCCCCCCCUCCUCCCCCGGAUUGCAGGAAGCCUCCAAGUAUUUUGACGGUGGCUAAACACGCAUUGGAAUUCUCCUCAAAGCUCUAGACAAGACAACAAGCGCAAACAUCAACAAGCGGGUAAGAAGGAACAGAUGGUUGGAAUCAAGAGCCAGAGCCUUUCGCCUCGGGGGAUUGGCGGUCAUGACCAGCCCAAUUCUGAGAGACACUGUGGCAGAGGUGGCUACCUGCCAGUGCAAUAGCAGCAGCACUGCCUUGUGGGGACAUUUCGUACAGGAAAAAUACACAUGCCCCCUGGAAGACAUAGACUGCAGAACAAAUAUACUGGAGUCCAUAGAAAUCCUGGUAACUCCCACCAAUUGAGUAGCACCUCCUGAUCAUGUCCCUCUGAGUGGCACACACAGGUGCAGACAGCCACUGUCUACUGAUGAGGCCACCAUGCUUAAUACCACUCCUCCCCCCAGAGCUCCAGAGAACAUGGAGGAAAAACCGAGCAACAGUGCAACCCCAACAGAAGCAUGUGGCUUAAACAUCUCCCACAGAGCCUGUAAAGGAAGGGCAACUACAUGAUUCCAGAAGGCAUACCCAUCCCUGGCAGCAAAAGUUCUGCCCUCACACAUCCAUCCAUGCUAAAGGUCACACACACUACAGCUCUGCUGCCAUCACCAGCCAUAUGGGCAAAGAACACAACAAAGAGAAGCAUGGCUUAGAGGAAAUACACUGACAUCACUGUGGCCAGGCUCCUGGUUCGGUCCUCACAUGGGGAGAGGCCAGAGGCAGGCAAAAGUGUUGGUACUAAGUUUUGUCCCUACAAAUUGUAGAUGGGGGAAUAGGACUGUCUUGUACAUCCACCAUCUUGGCUGAGACACCCCUUCAGAAACCCUCUAUCCCACAUUCUUGUGCCUCAGCCCCCAUGAGAAGGCCACAUGCCUGCAUUGCUAGCCUGUAUGGCUCAUCAGAUGUCAUCGGUGCUGUGGAGAAUUGUGAAUCCCAGACACCUAACCCUUCCAUGCUAGAGUAGAUACAUCUCCCUUUGGACCACUGGCAACCUGCUUUCUUUAUGAUCUGAACACAGCAGUCAGGAGAGGGUAUGAGCAUGAAGGGAUGACUCCAGAGGGGUGGCCAUGUCAAUCUGUAGCAGCUGUCUUUAAUAUACAUAAGGAGAUGAGCUAUAACAUGUGAAAGCUCAUCAUGAACUACAUGACAUCAGUUCUUAAGAGGUCACAGUACUUGUGCUAUGUUUCAAAGUUAAACAAAACAGAGGGUCAGUGGACCCGUGAAGACUGGCUAUCUUGAUCCCAGUAUGAAAUUCCCCUUGGAAUCCACACACCCCCCACCCCCCCCCCCGGCUGUUCUGGGAGCCCUAUAGGAAAAUCAUAGUAGGGAGGUUGGGCAGAGACUGGUGUGCCACAAGCUGGUGGAGAGGAGUAUAUGGGGAACUAAUUUCAACCGCUCAGUGACUGAAAGGGACAAAAUUGUAGAUUCAGGCGACUGCAAGGGAAUAGUAACAAGGUCUUCAGUGUGGUCCCCUGCCAUGGCAAAGUGCUUCAGGAACCACAGGAACUGGGGCAAGCCUUUUCUAUUUCAACAUGCCCGUGGGCACAGUGGAUUUGUCUGGCCAGUUGCUGCCUGAAUUGGGAUGCUAUGGGAGAUGGGCUUGAACCAGUGAGAUGGCAGAGUGGCAGAAUCCACAAUGGUCACUGUAUCCAGCCCAUACUGCACUGGGAAAGUUACCCUUCCUGGUCUCUUCCCUGUUGAAUCACCACCUGCACAGAUGCCAAACAAAGCCAUAUGAAAUGGUGGUAAGCAGCACAGUGGUCCUAACCACUGCAGGAAUGCCAAUGAGGUUCUAAUAGGAUCUGUACCCUCUCAUGGGGGACUCCAUUUGUUUGGAUACUCCCCUGAGGUGCAUGCCAUGCCCAUCCUAAUAACAACCACUGUGUGGAUUGCACCUCAACAGUAUUCACUGCUCCUGCUUCUAGUGCUGGAUAGGGCUAGACCCUUUUCUGAUCCUGCAAGAAAAUAGAUGCCAUGAGUUUAGAGCACAACGGGCAGCUGCCAGACACCCACCAAAUGUCAACCCCAUCCAUUAUCUGGGGGGCACCCUGGAAAAACCUAUGGUAAACCAGCAUCUCUCUAGCACUGUUGCCAGUACUCAAGGUACACUUUCCAAUGAGUAUACCCCAUUUUAUGACCUGGGGC